rnacentral:rRNA from 1 species
AGUGAACGCUGGCGGUAGGCCUAACACAUGCAAGUCGAACGGCAGCACAGGAGAGCUUGCUCUCUGGGUGGCGAGUGGCGGACGGGUGAGGAAUACAUCGGAAUCUACUUUUUCGUGGGGGAUACCGUAGGGAAACUUACGCUAAUACCGCAUACGACCUACGGGUGAAAGCAGGGGACCGUCGGACAUUGCCGGCUGGAAUGAGCCGAUGUCGGAUUAGCUAGUUGGCGGGGUAAAGGCCCAGCAAGGCGACGAUCCGUAGCUGGUCUGAGAGGAUGAUCAGCCACACUGGAACUGAGACACGGUCCAGACUCCUGCGGGAGGCAGCAGUGGAGAAUAUUGGACAAUGGGCGCAAGCCUGAUCCAGCCAUACCGCGUGGGUGAAGAAGGCCUUCGGGUUGUAAAGCCCUUUUGUUGGGAAAGAAAUCCAGCUGGUUAAUACCCGGUUGGGAUGACGGUACCCAAAGAAUAAGCACCGGCUAACUUCGUGCCAGCCGCCGCGGUAA